GCCCUCGUAGCUCAGUUGGAUAGAGCACAGCUUUCCUAAAGCUGGGGUCACAGGUUCGAUCCCUGUCGGGGGUA
rnacentral:tRNA from 1 species